GACGAACGCUGGCGGCGUGCUUAACACAUGCAAGUCGAACGGAAAGGCCCUGCUUUUGUGGGGUGCUCGAGUGGCGAACGGGUGAGUAACACGUGAGUAACCUGCCCUUGACUUUGGGAUAACUUCAGGAAACUGGGGCUAAUACCGGAUAGGAGCUCCUGCUGCAUGGUGGGGGUUGGAAAGUUUCGGCGGUUGGGGAUGGACUCGCGGCUUAUCAGCUUGUUGGUGGGGUAGUGGCUUACCAAGGCUUUGACGGGUAGCCGGCCUGAGAGGGUGACCGGCCACAUUGGGACGGGGAAACGGCCCAGACCCCUACGGGGGGGAGGAGGGGGGAAUUUUGCCAAAGGGGCGGAAGCCUGAUGCAGAAACCCCGGGGGGGGGAUGGCGGCUUUGGGGUUGAAAACCGCUUUCGCCUGUGACGAAGCGGGGGUGACGGUAAUGGGUAAAGAAGCACCGGCUAACUACGU
rnacentral:rRNA from 1 species